GACAAAUCCAACUAUGGUUAACUGUUCUUUACACUAAGCACCGCACUGAGAGCAACACAAACAAAACUGCAGGUGAAGGUGUCUGCAGCACACACAGUGAGAAUUCGCCCUAGAAAGUACAGGAUAUGUAACAUGCUGCGGGACAGAUGCAGAGAGGCCACUUUCCCUCUGAAGAGGAAUCACACACCUUAGCAUGUGCCUGACAAAAGGUAUUCCCUUUUCUCUGCCAGUCCCGGAAUUUAACAUUAGCCUCCACCAAAAAGCCGUCUGAUUCACUUGACUGAGGGCUUCACUGCUUCCACUGGACAGAAAAAGCAAACUGAACAUGAAGCAAACUCAGAAAUCAAACAGCUGCUCUGAUGGCACAGCCGGGCUCCAUCACACAGGCAUAUUUUUGAAGCAUAAUUAAUAUCAAACGUCAAGGGUGGCAGGACAGGGAGGAUUUAGUUAUUCUGCUACUUACACUGUCAUUAUGCGUUUUAGCCUCUUCAGAAAUGAGGUUUCUUCAUCACGUCUUUUGAAAUGCUUCAUACCAUCAGGUAUGAUGUUAAGGAAAAACAUCUAAAUUGGUUUUUGUUUGAAGCAUGAAAAAGGGAAAUUCAUGUUUCAGGAAGCAAAGUUUUUCUAUUAUCAACAGGUUAAUGUGUUUGGUAGAUCAAUGUGGAUUUCGGCAAUGGCCGGCAGAAACUCCAACCAGAAAGACCCCUGAACUUUACUGACUUUCCCUGGAGGCCAGAGGAAGUCAGAGCCUUGGAGCCAGUCAGUGCAAAGGUGGGGCUGGACAGGGCAAGGUACUGAAAGCAGAGGUGGCGGGAAGGGGAAAGCUGGAGAAAGACAGGAGGAAAGAGGGCCAUGGGAGCCGGAAUCCGAGGAGAGGUUUAGGCUAUAGGGAGGCGAGCAGGUGAGGGCCAGAGAAGGGGUUCUCAAACUGGGGUCCCCAGUGGAAUGGCCUGGGAAGCUUCAAAACUCCCCAUGCCUGGGUUCCGCCCACAGGGACUCUGGUGUCACUGGCGUGGGGUGCAGGAAUUUAUCCUGCCUGCAGGUGAUUCUAUGGGACAGGCAAGUUAACAACAAUUGACUGUAAGAGAAUGAUGCAGGCGUAAGUGGCAGCCCCCACAAGCGUGCCUGGAAAGGAGCUGCAGGUGAGGACAGAGGCCCCAGUGUUCAUGUGACCCGCACAGGCCAAUCCUGCAAAGCAGAUCUGGGAUAAGAAUAAGGAAUGCCUGACCCCAGAGACCUUCUCUUUCAACUGAAGCCCUCUGACAGCCAGCUCAAUCCCAGAGUGUCCCAUCUGCUCAGAGCCAAAAGGAGCCCAGAGGUUCACAGCGUGUGCCCAGGACAGCCGCCAGCCUCCUGUCUGCAGAAAGAUGGAGAAGGUUAAACAGGUCCCCCACAACCCUUCCAGAGCAGGGCUGACAGCCCUGAAGUGAGGCUGCACACACAGCUUCCCAGUGAUGUUAUUAGGAGCAGCUGCACAGCUUCCCAGUGGUGUUAUUAGGAGCAGCGCUUAUAUUUUUCCAUAAUCCAGAAAAAAAUGUCAAUAAAUAGGUCUUUUAUGACUUGGCUUUAAAAUUUGUAGAGAGCCAAACGCCAGUCAUGAUCAUGCCGUACCAUACCAGUGUCUGAUAAAAAGAGACUGAUUCUGCCAUCCCCCCAAGAUUGAUGGCCCUCAAAGAAAACAAGGAAGACCAGUCAAUAAUGACCUACUUAGGGGGCAUUUUCAAAGAAAAAUAAUGGUAGAACUUCAUGCUGUUGAAUGACUCCUAUUUUUGUAAAAAUGGAAUGCUGAAAUAAGUCACAAAGAUCAAAAGACUUUUUAACAAAAUGGCAUAACAUUUGAAUAAUCUGAAUUUGACACACAGAAAGCAUUUCAAUGUUAUUUAAAAUAGACGUCUACCUGCUUAAACGGUAUUUAAAAUGCAAUCUAAUUGUGAGAAAAAAUGGAAGGAAAGGCUUGUACACAUAUUUCAGAGUCAGAGAAUGCAUUAAAACUAUCACAAGAAAAUAAAGGAAUUGUUAUUUAUCAUUACUAAAAAUCAACUGUCAGUCACUCAGACAACUACUGUUGAAGUUGUCAAAACAUUUCUUUAUAUACCUUAACUGGGAAUUUUUAUCAUUGAUUUCAAAAUGCAGAAUUAAAGAUAAACCCUAAUUACUGUAUAAAAGAUACUAUCACCUUCAGAAAUGAGUCUGUGGGAGCUUUAUGCACACUCCAUAUGAACUUACAGAUUUGCAAAGUGGAAGAUGUGGCCAAGAUGCAUGUUUUUCAAUAAAGAUGUUGUUCUUAUAAAAAAGGUAGAAGCAUAACAAUAUGAGCUCACUUGGGAAGAAUAAACUGCAGGUGGAAAAGGAUGAAAAACAGGCAGUGGAUCUAAAUCUUCCCAAUGUGCCACAUAGUUCAUUAGAUGCCACAUUUGACUGUGAAAUUAAAUUAAGACUAGGCUUCUAGCUUUCCUUUAAAUAAUAAAAACUUUAGUUACUUGAUUUACCAGGCUUUUCAUGCUCACUUGAACCAUCUGCAAAACUGUUACAAAGGUGAGCUUGAACUUGAGUUCCACGUGUCAAAACAAUUACAGUUACUAUUUUAUAAGCAAGUUCUUUAGAAGAUAAAUCCUCUCGAAUAAUAGCUAAGAUUUAUCUUAUCCAUGUUGAAUUUCUUUGAAUUUUAACUUAUUUAAAAGGAAAAUGGCAGAAAAGGUUAAUUUGGAUGCUGCCAAACAUGAACAAAAGGAAGACAGAACUGUAGGAGGGGCUAUGACUUCAAGGAAGGCGGAGCUUCCUCGGGUCCAUGACACAAUACUUUGAGAAGUCACUGUUCAUUUCACAUACAAGUUUAGAUAUCCCAGGAUUACAUUUUCCCCUACAAUUAGCUGUGGGCUUUAUUUUUGCCAGUCUGAAAGUAGAAACUCCUAGGUUCAUUCUAUGAGAACGUGGUUACAGAAAAUGAAUCUUGCCCAAAAUGUAUUAUGGAAAUAAUACACAGAUAUCUUCCUUAUUGAAUACUGACAGCAGUUCAGCUUUAAAAGAAAACCAAGUAUGAAAUUGGUCAUGAGGCCAUGAAUUUUAUUUGUAAAGAUGAUCAAGUAGAACCAAAGUUAAGCAAACACCUCUGACCAAAAGUAGGGCCAGGUUUUGACAACGGAUACAUAAUUGCUCAGACGUGAGGGAACUUUCAUAUACCACUGGGAGGAAUACAAAAUGCCACAGUUGUUUUGGAAAACAGUCUGAAAACUCUUCCACAGAUGAGAAGCAGAGUGACCAUGUGACAUAGCAAGCCCACCCAAGUACAUACCCAAGAGAAGCAGAAACUCAGGUCCACACCAAAGCUUGAACACCACCGUCCACAGCCUCAGGAUUCAUAACAGCCAAGCUUAAAGACGACCAGAAAGUCCAUCCCUCAUGAGUGGAUAAAUAACAUGUUGUAGCCAUAAAAUGGAAUAUUAUUCAGCAAUCAAAGAAAAUGAAGAACUGAUUCAUGCAAACAACAAAAAUGAACCCCCAAAACAUGAUGCGAAGUAGAAGAACCCAAACACAAAAGACCAGACGUCCUAUGUUAUGUGUAUAUAAAGCAUCAGACGUCCUAUGUUCUGUGUAUAUAAAGCACCAGACGUCCUAUGAUUCUGUGUAUAUAAAGCACCAGACGUCCUAUGAUUCUGUGUAUAUAAAGCCUCAGAAGUCGCAAAUCCAGAGAGGCAAAAAGCAGGUCCCUGGUGGCCAGGGACUGGGGCAGGGAGCAUGCAAAAUGGCUGUAAAUGGCUUCUUUCUGGGGUGAUGGAAAUGGUCUAAAACCUAUUGUGCCAAAGGCUGCACAACUCUGUGAAUAUAAUAAAAACACUGAAUCACACCCUUUAAA
rnacentral:lncRNA from 1 species